AUUGAACGCUGGCGGCAGGCUUAACACAUGCAAGUCGAGCGCGCGGCGGACGGGUGAGUCAUGUCUGGGACACUGCCUGAUGGCGGUGGAUAACUACUGGAAACGGUAGCUAAUACCGCAUACCAUCAGAUUACCCCAGCGGUGAUGAGCUAGUAGGUGGGGUAAUGGCUCACCUAGGCGACGAUCCCUAGCUGGUCUGAGAGGAGGACCAGACACACUGGAACUGAGACACGGUCCAGACUCCUACGGGAGGGAGCAGUGGGGAAUAUUGCACAAUGGGCGCAAGCCUGAUGCAGCCAUGCCGCGUGUGUGAAGAAGGCCUUCGGGUUGUAAAGCACUUUCAGCGAGGAGGCGUUACUCGCAGAAGAAGCACCGGCUAACUCCGUGCCAGCAGCCGCGGUAAUAC
rnacentral:rRNA from 1 species